AUGGCAGGUGCCAUCUUUGGCCCCAGAAGCACCGGUCUUGGUCAAAAUAUGCUGAUGAAGCUCAAGGUAGUAUAUAAGUUGACUGAGCAGCUAUAUGUUGGAACCUUGCGAAGCCUGGUUGCUCUAUCAGGUGGCAAGAAACCUCCAAUUCAGAUCAAGAUCAUGCUGGAUCAGCUCUCAACGGCUCUGGCUCAAGUCACAGAAUACAGGCUGUCGGUUGCCUGGGCCGGAGCCAUUGUUGCUCUGGGUCAGGCCAAAGCAUGGCAAUCAGAGCUUGACCCGGUCGAAAUAGCCACCGGCUGUCCGAAGUUCAUGGAUGACGGGUCUGCCUUUGAAGAGCAAGAUUUCAACAAUUGUGUUAGAGAGAUGCGACCCGUGGCUUGCAAGCUAAUAGAGGAUUUGAACUCGAACCACUACACACCGACUUAUGAUGAAAACAACAACGAGAUUAAGCCGCCGACGCAUGAUGUGAUAGAUCUUGUUCCUUCAAGGCGUAAGCACAUCUUUGCCCCUAACCUUGACCCUUCAAUUAGUCUUAAUGAUGAAGCCACCUUUGAAGCUUUACCCGCAUAA
rnacentral:rRNA from 1 species